rnacentral:rRNA from 1 species
AGAGUUUGAUCCUGGCUCAGAUUGAACGCUGGCGGCAUGCUUUACACAUGCAAGUCGAACGGCAGCGGGGGCUUCGGCCUGCCGGCGAGUGGCGAACGGGUGAGUAAUGCAUCGGAACGUGCCCAGUCAUGGGGGAUAACUACGCGAAAGCGUAGCUAAUACCGCAUACGCCCUGUGGGGGAAAGCGGGGGAUCGCAAGACCUCGCGUGAUUGGAGCGGCCGAUGUCGGAUUAGCUGGUUGGUGGGGUAAAGGCCUACCAAGGCGACGAUCCGUAGCGGGUCUGAGAGGAUGAUCCGCCACACUGGGACUGAGACACGGCCCAGACUCCUACGGGAGGCAGCAGUGGGGAAUUUUGGACAAUGGGGGCAACCCUGAUCCAGCCAUGCCGCGUGAGUGAAGAAGGCCUUCGGGUUGUAAAGCUCUUUCAGACGGAAAGAAAUCGGGCGGGUGA